CAUUAAGAAGCUAUGCACCAGCGCUAGCCUUUUAAGCUAGAGAAAGAGGAACUUUUUUCCCUCCUUAAUGG
rnacentral:tRNA from 1 species